UACGUAGGGUGCAAGCGUUAAUCGGAAUUACUGGGCGUAAAGCGUACGCAGGCGGCUUUGCAAGACAGGUGUGAAAUCCCCGGGCCUAACCUGGGAACUGCAUUUGUGACUGCAUGGCUAGAGUUUGUCAGAGGGGGGUGGAAUUCCACGUGUAGCAGUGAAAUGCGUAGAUAUGUGGAGGAACACCGAUGGCGAAGGCAGCCCCCUGGGCUAACACUGACGCUCAUGCACGAAAGCGUGGGGAGCAAACAGG
rnacentral:rRNA from 1 species